AAUAUUGGACAAUGGGCGAAAGCCUGAUCCAGCCAUGCCGCGUGUGUGAAGAAGGUCUNCGGAUUNUNAAGCACUUUAAGGGGGGNGGAAGGGCAGUAAGGUAAUACUUUGCUGCUUUGACGUUACCGACAGAAUAAGCACCGGCUAACUUCGUCCCAGCAGCCGCGGUAAUACGAAGGGUGCAAGCGUUAAUCGGAAUUACUGGGCGUAAAGCGCGCGUAGGUGGUUUGUUAAGUUGGAAGUGAAAGCCCCGGGCUCAACCUGAGAACUGCAUUCAAAACUGGCGAGCUUGAGUCUGGGAGAGGGUAGUGGAAUUUCCUGUGUAGCGGUGAAAUGCGUAGAUAUAGGAAGGAACACCAGUGGCGAAGGCGACCACCUGGGCUAGUACUGACACUGAGGUGCGAAAGCGUGGGGAGCAAA
rnacentral:rRNA from 1 species